UUUAUAUUACGAUGUUAUAUCUUUUCCUACUUCAUAUUGUAGCCGAAGUAAUUCACGAAUGUAAUAGAGACAGAGAUUGUCACAUCUCAUGUGUCCCACCUGAACUUCCGAAGUGCAUUGCACAUAUGUGUUUCUGUUUUAACAGGUUGUAAUCUUUGUUUGCUUUUACAAGACACAUGGAGGAUAAAAUGUCACUGCAUAAAUGAAUUGCAACAAAUUAAGAUGUGAUUAUGUAAAAUUAUUAUGAAAUAAAGACAACAUGGUUAUCAUGUAAUUAUAUGCAUACAAUUAUAAGCAUACAUGUAUCUUUUCAAUACAAUUCUUUUCUGUUGCGAUGUUUUAGAUACAAUUCUCAUCAUGAAGACAUGGGGCUUAAUAGCAUGUUCCUUUCUAACUUUUAAAUUUGGAUCAUCCGGAUGUCAACAAUUCAUGUAUUUGAUUGGUUCAUACGAAAA